rnacentral:rRNA from 1 species
AUGACCUCAAAUCAGAUGAGACUACCCGCUGAACUUAAGCAUAUCGCGGAGGAAAAGAAACUAACAAGGAUUCCCCUCAGUAACGGCGAGUGAAGAGGGAAGAGCUCAGUUUGAAAUCUGGCAGUCAUUCACUGUCCGAGUGUAAUUGAAGAGAGUGUCAUCCACACUGGACAUGUCUAAAUUGUAAUGAUCCACAGUCCUUUUGAU